GAACAACAAAGAGGGAAUAAGUGGUUCGAUAGCAAGGACUGAUAACUGCCUCACACAAAGAAAGCAUGGGCCUCCCAAAAGCUUUAAAUUACAACUUUGAUGCCACUGAUCAGGGUUCCCGCAGUUGCAACUGGGACAUGGAGAAGCCGCAGAAGAGGCAGGGCAGGCCUGAAAGCACCAUCUCACACUGCAGAGCUCUCAGCUGCCCAAGUGAUGUGCAGAGAAAUCCCCCUUCAUGAUAGACGGAGUUUGAAGUUCUCCUGGACUCUGGCUGCAGGGGCCUGCCCGUUAGUCAAGAAGUAGCCACUCGGGGCACUAUGAGCACUCCUUGGGGAGCUCACGUGGAGGACGACGUCCGCAGCACGGCUGUCCACACCAGCAAUCCUUGCAGCGGGUCAUAUGGGCUUCACGAGGGUGUGUACUUGUGAAAAGGAAAGCUCCUACCUCACUCCCCUUUGUUGCCUGCCUUCCAACCUCCUCUAGUGAUAACACUCUAGCAACACAACUGUCCCCACUCCUCAGGAGACCAGAUACUACUGAGUGACGCCUGGCACCAGCUACCAUCGAUGGAGUGGUUAUCACGUGCCAGGCACAGGCCUUAUUUCAUUCAACCUCUUGAGAAGAUGGGUACUGUUUUCCAGACGAGGCAACAGAGACUUUAAGAGGUCAAGUAACAUGCUAAAGAUCCUGUAGAGCUGGUAUUCAAACUUACACGAUCUGAGCAGACGUCCUGUUUUUAUUUAUUUUUACAUAAAUAAAUUUGAGUUGGGUUUCUGUCACUUACAACCAGAAAAGUCCUAUCUGAUACAGAAGGUUAGUGUGAUGGUGACAAUUAGCCAUGAGCAAAACAUGAAACCCCCACGCCACAAGAAAGGCAGGCAUCUGAGUCUCAGAAGCUCCUAGAGCUGGAGGUUCACAAGCUUCAGGCUUCUUCCCUCACUUCUGUUUCUGUACGUGUGCUGGUUCUUGCACUGAGAGCUUGGUGGUACGCUGGACCAGGGUGAUUAUUUCUGAGAUUCCAAGUGAUUUUUAUUUGUUUUAAUAUUUUGUCUAUCUGUAUUUUUUUUAAAGAUUUUCUGCAGUGAAUGUGUAUUUCUUAUGUAAUUUUUUUUAAAGGUAUGAAGAAAACAAAAUGAAAACAAACUCCUGAGCGCUCACUGCUCAUCACCACUCAAUUGCUCACAAUCCUAGAAAAUAUGCCAAGCAGACUCCUGGACGCUAGAAAAAUGGACUAAAUGUGGCUGGAUAAUAUGGUGAAAUGUGCAUUUUUUUCUUCCUUCUCAUUUUCUCUUUCCCUUUUCCUUUCACCCCAAUUUAAGGAGUAGCCUGCCCUAUCUCAGGGGAGGUAUGCAAUGGGACAGAAAAUAAAAAUAACAUGCCAAAUACUUUCCUUCAUGGCUGUAAGCACAGGGAGAGGAGAAGGAUUGUGGAUGGAAGCCUCAGAUCACUGGCCCCAGAGAAGGAGCUUUUUUUUUUUAACUAAUAUUAAAUAAUUGUCUAAAAUUUUUUAAACAACUUUCUAGUAACUCAUACACUAAAGAAUGUAAAAAUACACAUGGAAAGCAUUGACAUAAGGCCAUAUUUUAGCAUCAACCACAGAAACACCUGAACAGGAACCCCCACCAAAAAGAUUUAGGAAGCUUUGAAGUGAGGGUCUGGAGUUAUUUCUGCUUUGAAGCCACUCCUUUAGCUUUACAGCUCCCUAAAGACAGAGAUUAAGCAAGAAGUGAAGUCCUGUGAAGAUAUUUUUGGUACUCUGCUUUCUCAAAAACUUAAGGGAAUUGCACAUUCAUGCUUUUUUUGUGUAAAUGCCUCUGUCCCAGUUUCUGCUUCUCAGCUUCUGAAUGUCAUCCAGCAAGAAGGAUCCGUGAGCGGGAUGCUCCACAGAUGUGAUUCACAAAGUCGCCCCUGCUGGCCUUUUUCCUUCCAUCUGGGGGUCAGCCCAGGUCUAUGGGUAAAUCACAUCCUUCUACCAGGUAAAUAACCAACUGCUCAAACCCAAGAAAGGGUACAGGGCUGGGAGCCAGGGGAGGGAAAGGGCGGCAUCUUACCACUUGACUCAAUUUUCUGUUUGUAUCAAAGGAUUUUUUAAAAAUAAACAUUUUAUUUUGGAGUAAUUUUAGAUUUACAGAACACUUGCCAAGAUAAUACAGAGAAUUAUACUGUAUACCUCUCACCCAGUUUCCCCUAAUGUUAACAUCUUCCAGUACAUGGCACAUUUGUCAAAACAAGGAAAACAAUAUUAGUACAUUAUGGUUAACUAGUAUUCAUUCCGAUUUCCCCAGCUUUUCCACUGAUGUCCUUUUUCUGUCCCAGGAUACCAUUGUAUUUUGUGAGGCAUUAUUUUAAAAUUUAAUCUUUAUUUUUGUAAAGGUUGUACACGUUUAUGGUUUAAAAAGUGAAAUGAUCGUAUGUGACUUGUAACAAAGAAACGCAGUCUUCUGCCCAAACCCUCCUCCACGCCAGUUCCCUUCUCCCAAAGGCAAAUGAUUCCAGCUUCCUCAUUGCUUUCACUGCCCUCCCUUCGGUCAGCCAUGCUGGCCUCUGCGCUGUUCCUCCAACAUGCCAGGCCUACUCUCAUUUUUUUUUUUUUUCUUGAGGAAGAUUAGCCCUGAGCUAACAUCCGUGCCCAUCUUGCUCCACUUUAUAUGUGGGAUGCCUACCACAGCAUGGCUUGCCAAGCGGUGCCAUGUCUGCACCCUGGAUCCGAACUGGUGAACCCCAGGCCACCGAAGCAGAACGUGCGAACUUAAUCGCUAUGCCAUUCUCAUUUUAAGGCUGAAUCUUUGCUCAAAUGUCUCCUUUCCAAAGAGGUCUACCCUGACCACCCUAUUUAAAAUUGUAAUACUUCUCACCCAUGCGUUCCCAAUUGCUCUCACUCUGCUUUUUCUUUCUCACACUAUGUAAUUUAUGUAUUAUGUACAUUUUUUAUCAUCUCUCUUUCUCUACUGGAAGGUAAGCUCUAUGGAGGCAGAGGUAUUGCCACUGAUGAGUCCUAAAUACCCAGAACAGUGCUUGGCACACAGUAGUCAUUCAAUAAAUCUUUGUUGGAUAAUUAAAUGAAUGAAUGAACAUUGAGAGCAAAGGAAGCAGACAGAAAGGCGUAAGUUCUUUCCUCUUCCAGCUCUGCAAUAUCCCUCUAGUUCCCUUAUUGACAGGGCCUAACAUGGAGCCAGCUGGCAAGGGAAAAACGCAGUUUGCAAAGUUCUGGCCCCAGCAUCACAGAGCAAAGUGUAGAAGGGUGGGUUUGAAGCUGAGACACAAUAGUGUAAUAACUGGUGCACACACACACAUUUAUCCUGCCCUAAUCUUGACAAUAUAGUUAUAUUUGAACUUUUGGUUAAAUCUAUAUUUACUGUUUAUGUUAUGGUUAAUAUAUAACAUUGUUUAGAGCCGAGUCAUGUAACGUGCUAUGAUAACAUUUCCUUUCUUGUAUAGCUUUCUGUUUUUCCUGGAUUUAAUAAUUGCCUUAUCUUUCUAUGGCUCAAUUUCAUCCCCAAAAUUCUCACAUAGAACCAUAGAACUCCUCUCAAUACAAACACAUCAGGAGUCUAUUAGCUCAGUUCUUUCCUUAGCUACAUCUUUCCUUGCAGUCCUCUGUCCUCCCACCUUGUGUUUCUGACUGUUAAGCUUCUUGAUUCCUGUGGUUAUGUCUUCCCAUAUUCUGUAACAGCCUUUCAUUUCCACAUAGUCAAAUGUAUCAGAUGAUCCAUCAGUUCUUUUAUUUUUCUUUCCUCCUGGAGCCCUGUACCCUCCUUCUCCAGGCAGGUUGUUAAUCUCAAGGCCUGUUGCAUAGUUGUUGUUCUGGAAAGUUCCUUCCCUAUCGUCCUGGAUGUCUUCUCUCUCACGUUGAAUCUUCCAUUUCCUGAAUCCCAAGCUUCCUCUUUCUUGGUGUUUGAGGCUCACAUCGUGCAGUGUCUUCAUGAUAAAUUAUACACAGUAGAUAAGCAUUUUUCAUGUCUGAACUGGCCUGCUCUCAGACUUGAUGGACAGUUUGUUUGGGUAAGAAAAUCUAAGUUGAAAACUAUUUUCCUCAGAAUAUUGAAGGUAUUGUUCCAUUGUCCUCUAAUUUUCAAGUUGCCAUUGAAAAGUCCCAUGUUAUUCUGCCUCUCAGUCCUUUAUAUGUAAACUAUUCUCCUUUUGUGGACUCCUCUCUGGACUGUAGGACCUUCCUUGUUUCCUGUGUUUUUCAUUUGUUUGUCUGUCCAUUUUGGUUUCUGGUGAUCAUGACUAUUUACUCAUAUGUGAAAGUGAGAAGCCAAAAAGCUGAUGUCCAGUGCGCAUGGUGGGGCUUAUUGAAAACUAGCCAUUUUGUUGAUAAAUCCUUUCUGUCAGUAUUUCCUCUUAGACUGGUCAGUUCUUCCAGGUAGAAGUGAUUCUACCUGGGUAGAAGUGGUCAACAUGAUUUAGGUAUUUCUGAUGAGAGCGUAUUGGGGAAGGGAGCCUGCUCAGGAUGUGGGCUCUCACUUAAUCCCACUCUUUUCCAUUUGGUACUCUGCUCUGCCCCACCGCUGUACCCUGAGUCCUCAACUCCAAAGCUCCUUUGGCUCAGUCUCUGCAGAGAAUGCAUUUGCUCCUGUUCCCUGCCAGAGUGUUCAAUCGCCUGGCUGUGUGAGGUAGGAAAAGGGAUAUGAAGUCUAGAGUCACACUCUGAACCAUUGGAGUCACACUCUGAACCAUUUCCUGGCUCUACCACUGUGUGACCCUGAGCAUGUCAUGUAGGAGCCUCAGUUUCCUCUGAAAUCUGAGGGCCUUUGAGACACAUGCGGUCUCUAGGGCUCUCUCAGCCCUGGCCUCUGUGAUGUAUGAAACUUCACAAGGUGGAGUUCUCUGCCUAAUGAGUAAUACAGACAGGAAGAUACAGGAGGUCAAAAAAGGGGAGGUGACAGUGGGACAGGGUGGUAGGGAGACAUCAAAGAAAAGGUGAGACUUGAGAAGGACUAGGGCAAGUCAGAGAAGUGGAGGAGCGAGCACCUCUUCAGGUGGUCCAAGUGGAAGAUAUAUUGGGCAGGAUUUUCACAGCACUUUUGGUGCCCAGUAAGUAGACAGGGGAUGAUGGAGUUGGAGAGUAAAUUUGGGUCAGAUUGUGAGGAAUUUGAGUCUCCUCUCUAAAUCAGUGGAUCUGAGGAUUAAAAUCAUCUGGAGAGCUUUUUAAAAUGCCAGAGAGACUUUAUAAAUCAGAAUGUCAGAGAGUAAAGCCCAGGAACCCCGAUUUCUUUAAAGUUGCCACAUGACUCCAACAAACUUGAAAGUUUUGAAAUCCCUUCCUUAGGCAAUGAACCAUGGAUAAUUUGUAAUCAGGAAUCAUGAUAGAAGUGGGAAUUUUAGAAAGAUGAAUUUGACAGCCAUAUGCAAGGUGGACUGGAGGUUGAAGGACAGGAGACAAGGACCUAUAGGAAGCAAGCUCACUGCCCCAGGCAGAGGGUCAUGAAGGCCUAUAGAAGGGAAGUGACUAAGGAGAGAGAAAGAAGAGACUGUACCAAUCCAUCUGUUAUGGUUUGAAUUGUGUCCUUCCCAAAUUCAUGUGUUGAGGUCCUAACCCCCCUCAGAAUGUGACCUUAUUUGGAAAUAGGGUCAUUGUAGAUAUAAUUAGUUAAGUUAGGAUGAGGUCAUUAAGGUGGGCCCUAAUCUAAUAUGACUGCAUCCUUAUAAAAAGAGGAAAUUUAGACACUGGCACAGACACACAUAGAGGAAAGACAAUGUGAAGAGACACAGGGAGAAGACAGCCAUCAACAGACUAUGGAGAGAGGUCUGGAACAGAUCCUUCCCUCACAGCCCUCAGAAGGAACCAACCCUGCCAACACCUUGAUUUUGGACUUGUAGCCUCCAGAACUGUAAUACAAUAAAUUUCUGUUGUUUACGCCAUCCAAUUUGUAGUACUUUGUUAUGGCAGCCCUAGAAAAAAAUACACCAUACUUUUGGAAACACGUUCCUAGAUUCAAGUUACCUCCUCUUCACUUUCUUGUGAGGAAUGAUUCCCCAAAGCCACCUUUCUGAGGGGGCUGGAAGCAGUGGUUGCAGAGUAAGGCAUGUAUUUCUGACACUGUAGGAUGCUCUUCAACCUGAGGAGUGAGUGCAGGGCUGACUUUUCUGGGUCAUUGGUCAGUUUGUUCCCAGGACCCACCUGAGAAAUCAAAGAACCAACUCCAGUGAUUGGAAAUUGCUGGACAGAAAUGCCCAUUCUCCCCACCUGAGGAAGUAAUCAACGCCAAGAAUGUCCAACUGUGAGUAAAGCCACAGAAGAGAAGGGAGACUCAUGUCCGUGGAGCCAUUAACAACCCACUGGUGGCUCAUCCAGAGAGAACGGAUCUGCAAGAGGUGGAACAACCUACAAAAAAAGGUGAACUUGGGAGCCACUGGGGAGGCAGCUCCUCCAGUCCACUUGCCAAGCCAGCUGCGGAGGAGAGCUCCCCAGGCUGGGCAGCCUUGCACUUGGUGGGGGUGCCGCUGCUGCCUCUGACCUCCUGCAUGCCCCGCUUCUGAGAGAAUGGGAUCUCGGCAGCACUGAGAGCCAAAGGCAGAGGCUCACUCUCCGAGCCAG
rnacentral:lncRNA from 1 species